CUGUGCUAGGUGGGGAGGUAGCGGUGCCCUGUAACCCACAAUCCGCUAUAGUGGGACUGAAAGCCUAUCUGAGGUGAAGUAAUUUUAAGGUCUGCCGUAAGUAAGCAGUGUUGACGUUUGGGUCCUAUGCAACGAGAACCCGUAAACCCUGUCAGGUCCGGAAGGAAGCAGCAGUAAGCGGUCAUUCUUGUGUGUCGUAGGGUUGCCUAAAUCGAGCUGUGAGCUUAUGUAACGCUUAUGAAUUACUUCAUCGAGGAUAGGGCGCAG
rnacentral:SRP_RNA from 1 species